rnacentral:misc_RNA from 1 species
UUUUACUGAAUUCACAAAAAUAGGAAGUUUUGCAUGAAUAUUUGCAAUAUACUUAUCACUUGUGGUGAUUAGAUUUCUUUCCAAAUAAUCCUCUUUCCUUCUUCAAAUAAUCCUAAACUUCUUUUGCUACAAAUUUCAUAAUGUAAAUUGAGUUUUCCUCCGACUAAAUCCUCUCUGUUCUCCAAAUAAUCUGAAAACAAAUAAUCCUCUUACUUUCCAACUCUCUUUUCCUCAAAUCCUCUUCUUUUCAGCUGCUAGAUACGCACGAGGCCCGAUUCAAGGAUGUUCCCGUGGCUGUCAGAACGAAAGCUGCUCACAAGAACGAGGUC